rnacentral:rRNA from 1 species
CUUUGAAAGUUCGCCCCGCGGCCGGCCAGAAACUCCAAAUUUAUUUCAAAAUCGACCUCGGAUCAGGUAGGGAUACCCGCUGAACUUAAGCAUAUCAAUAAGCGGAGGAAAAGAAACCAACAGGGAUUGCCUCAGUAACGGCGAGUGAAGCGGCAACAGCUCAAAGUUGAAAUCUGGCCCCGUCGGGGUCCGAGUUGUAAUUUGUAGAGAGUGUUUCGGGUGAGACCACGGUCUAAGUCCAUUGGAACAUGGCGUCAUAGAGGGUGAGAAUCCCGUCUGCGACCGUGGCUCGAGCCCAUGUGAAGCCUCCUCGACGAGUCGAGUUGUUUGGGAAUGCAGCUCAAAAUGGGUGGUAAAUUUCAUCUAAAGCUAAAUACUGGCUGGAGACCGAUAGCGCACAAGUAGAGUGAUCGAAAGAUGAAAAGCACUUUGGAAAGAGAGUCAAAAAGUACGUGAAAUUGUUGAAAGGGAAGCGCUUGCAACCAGACCUGUCCGUAGGUGAUCAGCCGCUGUUCUCAGCGGUGCACUCGCUCUGCGAUCAGGCCAGCAUCGGUUUCGGCGGUCGGAUAAAGGCCCUGGGAAUGUAGCUUCCUCCGGGGAGUCUUAUAGCCCUCGGUGCAAUGCGGCCAGCCGAGACCGAGGACCGCGCUUCGGCUAGGAUGCUGGCGUAAUGGUUUGUAAGCGACCCGUCUUGAAACACGGACCAAGGAGUCUAACAUCUAUGCGAGUGUUUGGGUGUCAAACCCAUGCGCGGAAUGAAAGUGAACGGAGGUGAGAACCCGUUAGGGCGCAUCAUCGACCGAUCCAGAUGUCUUCGGAUGGAUUUGAGUAGGAGCAUAGCUGUUGGGACCCGAAAGAUGGUGAACUAUGCCUGAAUAGGGUGAAGCCAGAGGAAACUCUGGUGGAGGCUCGCAGCGGUUCUGACGUGCAAAUCGAUCGUCAAAUUUGGGUAUA